rnacentral:rRNA from 1 species
GACGUAGGGCGCGAGCGUUGUCCGGAUUUAUUGGGCGUAAAGGGCUCGUAGGCGGUUUGUCGCGUCGGGAGUGAAAACCCAGGGCUUAACCCUGGGCUGGCUUCCGAUACGGGCAGACUAGAGGUAUGCAGGGGAGAACGGAAUUCCUGGUGUAGCGGUGAAAUGCGCAGAUAUCAGGAGGAACACCGGUGGCGAAGGCGGUUCUCUGGGCAUUACCUGACGCUGAGGAGCGAAAGUGUGGGGAGCGAAUAGG